ACCAUUUCAAUUACUUUAAAAUCAUCCUUUACUUUAUUAAUGUAUGAGAAAAGUGUAUGAAACAUAUUUUGUAACAUAUUAUCAAAAGAUACGUUUAGUGUGUUUGUGCAAUUCACAUUAAGAAAUUCAAAGUAUCCUGAAGGGAAUUCGCCGUUAAUCUCACUUGCAUUCAAUAUACUAUAAUUGUGAAGAAAGAUAUACCAUGGUUUUGAAUUGCGGUUGCGGUUGCGGUUGUGGGUGUUACGAUUGCGGUUGCUGCGAUGCACAUUGCGGCCGUUGCGGCGUGAGUUUAAAUUAGGAAAUAUUUGAAAUACACCAUUAAAAAACACUUAAUGUUAAUAUUUUACAUUACAAAUCACAUGUAAAUUGAGUUUAUGGGUUCUCAAGUGUUGAGUUAUGAUGAAAAUAUAUGAAUAAACAUGAGUGAAGGUGUUUGAUACGAA